CCCGGAGAAACUGUGACCAGCUAGCUUGCUUCGGUCAAAAUUAAGAGGAAAUGCUUCGACUUCAAACCACCCAAAAUGGUUGACUUUUGUAAAAGAAUUUGAUCCCUCUUUCGUCGAUUGCCUAACAUACGUCGAGCAAAGUUGACUGCCCGCUGGCGAAAGAAAUUGGGUAAGAAUCAAUAAAAGAAUAAAAAUGUAAAAUAAAAAAAACUGGGGGGUUGAAUGUAAUUUUGAAGUCUAAAUCAAUGGCCCGAGACCCCAUGAAGAUUGUUUAAAGCUAUUAUCGUAGAAAAGAGAUAUUUUUAACAGAGUCAUAUUACAAGAAAAGUCAAUCAAAUACCAAAGUUAACUUUACCAAGUAAUUAUGAUGUAGUUUCGGGUCAAAUGAACCCAGCAGGCGUGCAUAAUAAUUAUCGGCAGCAAUGGUAGAAGAAGAUACAGGGUGGCUAAGAGAGGGGAGGGAGGCUUCAACAUUACAAAAG
rnacentral:lncRNA from 1 species